rnacentral:rRNA from 1 species
UACGUAGGGUGCGAGCGUUAAUCGGAAUUACUGGGCGUAAAGUGUGCGCAGGCGGCCGAGCAAGUCGAGUGUGAAAGCCCCGGGCUUAACUUGGGAAUUGCGCUCGAAACUACUUGGCUGGAGUGUGGCAGAGGAAGGUGGAAUUCCAGGUGUAGCGGUGAAAUGCGUAGAGAUCUGGAGGAACACCGAUGGCGAAGGCAGCCUUCUGGGCCAACACUGACGCUGAGGAGCGAAAGCCAGGGGAGCAAACGGG